CUUUCUUAGUUAUAUCUAGGAAUCUAAACUGAGGAAAUGAGAUUUGAUGUAAAUUCAGAUUCCACAUACAAGGAAACUCAUAAUUGUGACUGGAAACUAAAAUAUUCAGUGGCAAAGGACUAAUCUGGCAUAAAGAAACACC